rnacentral:tRNA from 1 species
GGGUAUAGUUCAGUUGGUAGAACGUCGGUCUCCAAAACCGAAUGCCGUGGGUUCGAGUCCUGCUCCCC